rnacentral:rRNA from 1 species
GAUGAACGCUGACAGAAUGCUUAACACAUGCAAGUCAACUUGAACUUCGGUUUGGGUGGCGGACGGGUGAGUAACGCGUAAAGAACUUGCCUCACAGCUAGGGACAACAUUUGGAAACGAAUGCUAAUACCUGAUAUUAUGAUUUUAGGGCAUCCUAGGAUUAUGAAAGCUAUAUGCGCUGUGAGAGAGCUUUGCGUCCCAUUAGCUAGUUGGAGAGGUAACGGCUCACCAAGGCGAUGAUGGGUAGCCGGCCUGAGAGGGUGAUCGGCCACAAGGGGACUGAGACACGGCCCUUACUCCUACGGGAGGCAGCAGUGGGGAAUAUUGGACAAUGGACCAAGAGUCUGAUCCAGCAAUUCUGUGUGCACGAUGAAGUUUUUCGGAAUGUAAAGUGCUUUCAGUUGGGAAGAAAAAAAUGACGGUACCAACAGAAGAAGUGACGGCUAAAUACGUGCCAGCAGCCGCGGUAACACGUAUGUCACAAGCGUUAUCCGGAUUUAUUGGGCGUAAAGCGCGUCUAGGUGGUUAUAUAAGUCUGAUGUGAAAAUGCAGGGCUCAACUCUGUAUUGCGUUGGAAACUGUGUAACUAGAGUACUGGAGAGGUAAGCGGAACUACAAGUGUAGAGGUGAAAUUCGUAGAUAUUUGUAGGAAUGCCGAUGGGGAAGCCAGCUUACUGGACAGAUACUGACGCUGAAGCGCGAAAGCGUGGGUAGCAAACAGG